UUUGAACAUGUCUAUCUGCUGCUGCC
rnacentral:piRNA from 1 species